rfam:Sinorhizobium fredii GR64 contig00065, whole genome shotgun sequence.
GAAAAAUUUCGCGGUUAUUCUUGUGGUGGGACGGCGCAUGGGCAGGAUGGUGUAACCAUCCGGCGGUAGCCACCCAUGCGCUGAACGAGGCUCCUGAUGGGGCCUUUUUUUAUGUCUUCAA